UGGCGAACGGGUGAGUAACACGUGGGACAACCUGCCCAAAAGAGGGGGAUAACACUUGGAAACAGGUGCUAAUACCGCAUAACCAUAGUUACCGCAUGGUAACUAUGUAAAAGGUGGCUAUGCUACCGCUUUUGGAUGGGCCCGCGACGCAUUAGCUAGUUGGUGGGGUAAAGGCUUACCAAGGCAAUGAUGCGUAGCCGAACUGAGAGGUUGAUCGGCCACAUUGGGACUGAGACACGGCCCAAACUCCUACGGAAGGCAGCAG
rnacentral:rRNA from 1 species